UUCGUGAGUUGAAGCAAGGGAAACUGAAUUCAGAAGCUAGAUCAAGCAAGUAGCAACUCUCUUGAGGCUCCAUAACAAGCUUUCAAGGUCGGAUUCAUGGGAGAUCACGGUAAUUUCGAAAUUCCCUAAACUAUGUGUUUAAUUUGGAAAUGCACGAUUAAGGGCAUAAAAUUUGUUUUUGUUUCAUCAAUUGGUAUCAGAGCCCAUGGUUAUGCAUUUCCUUGUAAACCAUAGUUGAUUUUUUGGUGAAAUCUCACUCAUGGAAUUUUUCCUUUAAUUUCGGAUUUUUCAGAUUUUUUGAAUUUGAGCAUAUUUGAUCAAAUCGUUGUUAAAUAAUGCAUGAGUGAUGAUUUUGGAGCAAAGAUAUAAUUUUUCCGUGAUUUUUGGUGGCCAAAAUCGGAAUGGUAUGAAUGAGGUUACUGUAAAUUCACUGUAGCAACACUGUUGAGACAUCCCGAGGUUGAAGAUGACAUGGUGGGAUAAUUUCGUUUGGAUCCCUCAUGUAUAAGUGGAAGGAUGCCCAUGCACGAAUAAGGGCAUGGACAUCCUUUUGUUAUUGUUUCAAAAUUCCCACUGACUCAGCAUAUAUAUGUGGAUUCAAAUAAUCCCAUAUGCGUCACAUGCUCCUUAAAUACUUUUGGAGCUAAAGCUUUAGUCAGUGGAUCGGCUAACAUGAGUUCUGUAGGGAUAUACUCUACUGAUACACAAGAUAGAGCAAUUUUCUCUCUCACAAACAAGUAUUUAAUAUCAAUAUGCUUAGAACGUGAGGAACUCCUGUGUUGUGAGAAAAAGAAACAGCCGCAGAAUUAUCACAGUAUAUUUUUAAUGGUCUCGGUACGGCCAAUAUACAAUCUAGCCCUAUGAUAAAAUUCUGCAUCCAUAAAGCAUGACGUGUAGCCUCAAAACAUGCUACAUAUUCUGCUUCCAUUGUUGAAGAAGCUAUGAGUGUCUGCUUGACACUUUUCCAUGAUAUAGCUCCUUCUGCCAUCAUAAAGAUGUAACAUGAUGUGGAUUUCUUGUCUUCCAAGCACCCUGCAAAAUCAACAUCAGAAUAUCCAACUAUAUUCAAAUAGUCAGAUUGCUGAUAUGUCAAUACAAAAUCUUUAGUGGCUUGCAAAUAUCCGAGUACUUUCUUUGCAGCCUUCCAGUGUUUAAAUCCAAGAUUGCUCAGGUAUCUACCAAGUACUCCCACUGGAAAAACAAUACCAGGGCGAGUACAGACUUGAGCAUACAUCAGGCUACCCACAACGGAUGCAUACGGGACUGUUGACUCCUCUGAGUUGCUACUUGCUUGAUCUAGCUUCUGAAUUCAGUUUCCCUUACUUCAGCUCACAGAUCGACUUUGCUUCUCUAAGUUACUGUACACACAAACACACACACGGGAGAGAAGAGGGAGAGAGAGGUGCACUGCACACAUGCCACUGAUUUUUCCAACAGUUAACUCCCAAUGGGCUGAAGUUACUUAAAUACAGCGGUUGAGCGCAUGGACCC
rnacentral:lncRNA from 1 species